rnacentral:rRNA from 7 species
UGUUUGAUGUUCUAACGUGGACCCGUGAUCCGGGUUGCGGACAGUGUCUGGUGGGUAGUUUGACUGGGGCGGUCUCCUCCUAAAGAGUAACGGAGGAGCACGAAGGUUGGCUAAUCCUGGUCGGACAUCAGGAGGUUAGUGCAAUGGCAUAAGCCAGCUUGACUGCGAGCGUGACGGCGCGAGCAGGUGCGAAAGCAGGUCAUAGUGAUCCGGUGGUUCUGAAUGGAAGGGCCAUCGCUCAACGGAUAAAAGGUACUCCGGGGAUAACAGGCUGAUACCGCCCAAGAGUUCAUAUCGACGGCGGUGUUUGGCACCUCGAUGUCGGCUCAUCACAUCCUGGGGCUGAAGUAGGUCCCAAGGGUAUGGCUGUUCGCCAUUUAAAGUGGUACGCGAGCUGGGUUUAGAACGUCGUGAGACAGUUCGGUCCCUAUCUGCCGUGGGCGCUGGAGAACUGAGGGGGGCUGCUCCUAGUACGAGAGGACCGGAGUGGACGCAUCACUGGUGUUCGGGUUGUCAUGCCAAUGGCACUGCCCGGUAGCUAAAUGCGGAAGAGAUAAGUGCUGAAAGCAUCUAAGCACGAAACUUGCCCCGAGAUGAGUUCUCCCUGAGACUUAGAGUCUCCUGAAGGAACGUUGAAGACGACGACGUUGAUAGGCCGGGUGUGUAAGCGCAGCGAUGCGUUGAGCUAACCGGUACUAAUGAACCGUGAGGCUUAACCUUACAACGCCGAAG